UACGAAGGGUGCAAGCGUUACUCGGAAUUACUGGGCGUAAAGGGCGCGUAGGCGGUUGGAUAAGUCAGCUGUGAAAACCACGGGCUUAACUCGUGGCCUGCAGUUGAGACUGUCUGGCUUGAGUGUGGGAGAGGAGAGUGGAAUUCCUGGUGUAGCGGUGAAAUGCGUAGAUAUCAGGAGGAACACCGGUGGCGAAGGCGGCUCUCUGGACCACAACUGACGCAGAGGCGCGAAAGCUAGGGUAGCGAACGGG
rnacentral:rRNA from 1 species